rnacentral:rRNA from 1 species
AUUGAACGCUGGCGGCAGGCCUAGCACAUGCAAGUCGAACGGUAACAGGAAACAGCUUGCUGUUUCGCUGACGAGUGGCGGACGGGUGAGUAAUGUCUGGGAAACUGCCUGAUGGAGGGGGAUAACUACUGGAAACGGUAGCUAAUACCGCAUAACGUCGCAAGACCAAAGAGGGGGACCUUCGGGCCUCUUGCCAUCGGAUGUGCCCAGAUGGGAUUAGCUAGUAGGUGGGGUAACGGCUCACCUAGGCGACGAUCCCUAGCUGGUCUGAGAGGAUGACCAGCCACACGAGAACUGAGACACGGUCCAGACUCCUACGGGAGGCAGCAGUGGGGAAUAUUGCACAAUGGGCGCAAGCCUGAUGCAGCCAUGCCGCGUGUAUGAAGAAGGCCUUCGGGUUGUAAAGUACUUUCAGCGGGGAGGAAGGGAGUAAAGUUAAUACCUUUACUCAUUGACGUUACCCGCAGAAGAAGCACCGGCUAACUCCGUG